UCUGACUGCAACGCCAUGAAAGACUCUAAGCAAGAAAUAGCUAGCGGAGCCCAGUCAACCUCCAGAAGAGCAAAAGAGAAUAAGGUGCUUCUUUCUUCGUCUUAAAAAAGGAGAACUCCAGUCUAAGCAUGAGACAAACAUCAGUCAAACCCAUAAUGGGAGACACUCUACAGGACUCCUGACUAGUACUUGUCAAGACUGUCAAGGUCAUAAGAAACAAGGAAAGGCUGAGAAAUGGUCACAGACCAGAAGAGACUGGAGAGACAUGACAACCAAAUGCAAGGUGGUACCUGGACCAAAUCCUGGAACAGAAAAAGGGCAUGACAAGGGACAGCAGUGGGAAAAGUGGUGAAAUUCGAAUCGAGCCUGGAGUUGAGGUAAUAGCACUGUACCAGUGUCAGUUUCCUAGCCUUGACAAAGGUGCCCUGCUAAUGUAAGAUGCUGACAACGGGUGACAAUGG
rnacentral:lncRNA from 10 species